AGUUGUCAAGGAACUAUUUUUCUUGCCGUCGUCCCAGAGAUGCCUUUGGAAAAGCGGAAGGGCACGGAGGGUUCUGGAGUUCGUUGCUGGCACCUGCGUGGUGUCAUGAGAACGUGGCGGGGCGAUUCACACUACAAGGAAUACUAAAGGACGUUCUCCACAUUGAAGGAAAAUGAUCUAAAGAGAAACAGAUCUGUAAGAAGAAAUGAAGAGCACUGGUAAAGGUCCAGCAUAGCAAGUGGGUGGUGAGAUGCCGGCAGUGGAAUUCUAGAAGCAGUGCCUCCCAGAACAGCACUACAGUACUGAGGAAGGACUAUGCACCUGGGAAGCUGUCACACACACAAAAUCAUUUCAUGAAAACUUUCUUUGGGUAAAGGAAGGGUUCCACUGCGUAGUAUUUGAUUUGAGAAGGGCUGCAUGGUGCAUGAGGUUAAGAAAGAAAUGACUAUAUUUGCCUUUAAACACUUCAGCUGAUUCCAAGCACCCAACUUCAGAGGCUCAGUGAGAAGAAAGCACACUAAUUAAAGAAAGCACAUUAAUUAAAGAUACCACCACCUGCCAAAUAAUAGCAUGUGCUGCAAGGAAUGGGGCUAGGGAGAGUGUUUCACAAAUGCAGAGCACCAGGCCACAAGGUUAAAGUCAUGCACUAAAACAGUCAAUCCCAAGAGGCAGGUGUCUGAGUGGCGCGACUCAGAAGCAAGUACAUAAAAACGGAACACUCCCAACAGGACACCACUCUAGCCCCACUUCUGCCAAAGGAAAGUUUUCACAUCAAGGUGUAACACACAUCUUUGCAAUUCAAGGUUUAUCCCUCCCCUCUCCCCCAAAGAGACAGGAAAUACAAGUUAAGGUCCUCAUAGCAAUGGUUUGUCUCCCACUUGGGAAGGCUGGUUAUUGUCAACAUUUUUAUUUAAGAAAACAGGAUUUAACAUGGCAUUUUUCUUCCCUCUAAGGGCAGCAGCACAUAAAUCAUACAUCAGUCAUCCAGUGAUACAAAGAGGUGGCCAAUUGUGUCUGAAGUAGUCACUUGUAAAGGAUCACAACCCAGGCAGUGUUGCUUUUCUGCAAACAGAAGGAAACAGAAGGCUCCAUGGUCCUUGAAGAUUAUCCAAGUUUUCCACUAGUUGUCAAGAUUUCUGUCCCAACCUCUUAGUCACCAUUUACAGCAAGAAGAGCCAGCAAGUGAAAAACUGUUAAUUUAUUGAUUCAAAGUUGUUUUUUUUCUUUUUAAAAAACAAUCCCCAAUACAUGCAGUUCAGGGUUAAGUAUCACAUUUGUAGCACAUUGUUGAGUCUCAAAACAAAAAUAUGCAUCACCUGUAUAAUCCCAUCACAUCUUUUUCCAGCCUCUACAAUACCUAGUUGGGGGUGUUUUCAUUUAUACAUCCACAUAGCUCAGAAGCAUGUUAUUAACGGUUGAUCUGGCCCGAUGCUUCUCCGCCACCUCCCCUGCCCUGGUCUCCACCUCGGGGUUAUUUUUUUCUAAAGGCAGGAUGUUACUCAGUCUUAAUUUAUUAAGAUCACUGACAAACUUUGGCUUCUUGUGUGCUCAUGUGGUCCCUGCUUUUGCUUUCGGAAGGGUUUAUAUUGAAACGACUGUGACUCUGAUCGGUUAUUAUCCCCUCAUUUUUUGUAGGAAAUAAGUUUGCUUGUUUCUGUGGGUGCUCACACAGUAACACAGGUUCCUAAAGUAACCAUUUAAUCUGAACUGGUAUUAAAGGAAACUGUUAACCAGGCUCUCUUAGAUCUAUUUCAGUUCAUAUAAAAAAACUCUUCCAAUUGUUGCUUGUGUCUCAAAGUAGUUCUGCUUCCAUCCUUAUCAACAGAGCACCUGGGAGAACCUAAGUCAUUUCCCUGAGUAGGCACAGACCACGAGCCCCGCGGCACCCAGCUCUCUCUGGGACUAAGCGCCUGACUCGAGAGCACCACCUUUCAGUCCACUGGGACCAAUCCAGUGGGCAGCGCCCUCCCCAGGGUACAUUCCAGAACAUAAACUUGGUACCCUCUAAUUUAUCCCCUCAAGAAGUUAAUUUCCUCCUCAAGAGCUACCUUUAGAUGGAUUUUCUUAUUGGUCCCUUUUCUUUUAACAGCCCUUCCCCUAGCCACUCUCUUCAAGUCCCCAAGGAUUACGAGUUUGUCUGUCUCCUCUAAUCUAUCAGUCUGAGAGCACCUUCCUCUCUGCAAGGGAACACAUUUGCUUUAAACCUUGUGAGUGCUGACAUGUUACAGAAUGUCUGGGAGGAGGCCUGGCUGAGUGACUGGUGUUUAAGUGCCUCAAUGAACGACAUCAGCGCUUCUCUAGUUGGUGAGAAGGCCCAGGAAAGCUUGGUCUGCGUCAUACACUCAAUAGCUUCUCCUACCCAGCCACCUACCCUGCCUACAGGGAUAGGAUGAAAGCAAGGCCAGCUGACAGCAUCCAGGGGAGAGUGAACUGCCACCACACCAGAGGUGCAAAUGUGACUCAGCACUUCAUGAGUUCUACUCUCACCAUGGGAUUUCUCAGCAGAAGCAAACCUUGCAGUCAGGCUCACUUGUAGCCAACAAAUGAUAUAGCCAUCUGGAUUUGGCAUAGGAACCUUUUGUUCUCACCAUACCAGGUCUAUGUUCUUGAACAUAGGCAGUACCUGAGAUGAUAGUAUAACACUACCCUGUUCCCCACAUUUUUUGCUUUUCUUUAGGAAAUAAUUAAGUCCUUAUCAUAGGCACUUUUAACCUGUUUAAGAUAAUGAAGCAAACAAAUGAAAAGUACUGAGAUGAGUUUAAGAAAGAAUAUGCUAACUGAAAAGGAUACUGGGUGCGUACAUUUACCAUGGUUUAGUCUAAAUAUUAGACACACAGACACACACACAGACACACACACAGACACACACACAGACACACACACAGACACACACACACCCCUUUUGGAACUCUCCAAGACCAUCUCCGAAUCUAGGUAAAUAGUCUUAAAAUUUCGGGGGAGCUAGGUUUGGAAACAAAAAUGGUUUUUGGAGACAGGAAAAGAGAUGGUCUGAAACUGGACUCACUUCAGUUUGGAAAGGAAUAGCCUAGGUGCCAAGACCAGACCCAGGAAGGGGUGAGCAUUUCAAGCCCAGUUAUGGUCUAAGUCUAAGGCAUGAAGAGAGGUAAAAGUCUAGGUGCUGGAAAAGCAAGCUGUGUGCUUCAAAGGAAGAAUGCCUGUGUCAAAGCUGCAGUUACAAAACCCCAGGACAAGGCAGGCAGGCGGUGUCUGCACCUACAUCACCGUCAGAGAGACAGGCAGAGGUCAAUCACCUGACUAUUCUCCUCCAGGUACUUUUAUUACCUUUGGGGGACCCAAGGGAAAGGAAUGGAGUUACCGCUUCACCAAGACCCUCCAGUAGGCACCUCUUGCCUGGUCCAGACAGGCAACUUAAAAAAAAAAAGGGAGGGCUGAGGAGUGGGGUGGGGUGAUAAAGGAGAUUGGAGGGGGAGCAGGAAAGACACGCAGUGGCACAUCUCCCUGAUGAUAACCAAUGCUUCAGGAUUGCCUAUAAGGGCAUAUUAGAAGGCUUUUGAUAAUCUCAAACACUGAGUUUUGCUGCCUGACAUAUCAAUACAGGUUUAGCCAAAGAGCUCACAUCUUGCUUUUGAUUUUCAGGUAGAACAAAUGUUUACAUUAGUAUACAGAAUGUGCAAUGCAAGCAGGCAGCAUUGGUAUGAGAACCUUAACUGAAUGCAUUCCUUGGCUUUGGGAUCUUAUUUAUUUUUUACUCUAUAAACUCAACUCUAUAAUAAGAGAAGAGUUUCAUUUGUAUUUUAAGUUCCCACAGACCAAACGACAAAAAUAGAAUCUACAUUUAGAGUAGGAUCUGCUACCAAUACCAAUAAGAUUUUAUUGGAAUAUGGAAUGUAAACAAAUGUUUCAAACAAACAUCUAACCUUAUAAAAAUGUAUGGCAUUAUUAAAUAGUUAAUAAAGAAAUCUUAAAGGGUGAUGUGGUAGACACCUCUAGUUCUAGCCUAGGUGUGUGAAGUCCCCACAGCUGUGGCAUGGCCCUGCAGCUGGGGUGAGGGGACUGCCUACAAACCAUGUUGCUCCUGAGUCCCCAAAAUGAAAUCAGCCCUAUUUUUGUUUAAACAAACUCUAGCUUUCUCUGCUAACAUGAAGGUUUGCAAAAUGGAUCCAACACUUGCUCCGGGAGCACCAUUUUCUUCCCCAAGCCCCUUGUAUAUUCCUCUGAGUUGCUUGAGUUUCAGAUGACCCUGCCCACACAACUCUAGUACCUGCAUGCAAGACAGACUUAUCUUUGCCAUCACAUAAAUGUAUCACAUAUCAGAACUUACAAAUGCAUAUUACCCUGAUUACAGUGGGAAACUGUGUCUCAUGGGGAUAAAAGGAGGUGGGAGAGAGAUAUUUUUUUCCAUAAGUCUUUCCUGAAAAAAUUCUAAUGGGAUGUUUUCCUCCCUCGCCUUGCCUGAAGACUGACUUUCCAGCUUUAGUUAUGGUUGUGAACAAAAAGGUCUCUGUUUCAGAGAGGUGCAUUAAAAUAGGCGCACACAUAGGGAUGUGCUGGGAAAUGGUGAAGUUCUCCUUACAAGGCUGCCAAAAAAAAAAAAAAAAAAAAAAAAGAAAAAGCAACAAAAAAAUAGCAACAAGAUUUUAUGGUUAGGGAAAUCAACAAAGGUUAUAGUGAGCUCCAAGUUAUGCACUUAGCAUGGAACUUUUGAUGAUAACCAUGGACCAGUUCAUGGCAUUGCAAGGUUUCGUGAUCCCUCCUGACAUCAAAGAGGACUCUUGUGAAAGUGACUGCAGUUUGCUCCCAAAUGAAUCCACUUGGAGGAAAACUGCGGGGAUGAGGUACAUUUCCUGGAGAGCUCAUGUCAUUAAAAAAUACAUAAAACGUGGAUUUGUAAAGAGCUUAAAAAAAAAAUACUGUCACUGUUUUAAUAUCUCCUUUUUGUAAAUGAGGCUGGUGUGUCAGUAUAGACUGCUGACAUUUCGCUAAGACUUGAGCCUGAAUUUCACCAAAGGAAACCCAGACCACAAUGGAAUAGAUAGGAAGUCAGACAUUCAGAGCUUGUUGACUGAAUGGGUUAAUUCAACAGUGGUGCCCUGUUAAACAAAGGUAAAUGUACAACAACUCCGAGUCUCUAUCUCCCAUGCAUUCCAAAGGCAGAGCUCCUUCAGAUCCUGAACUAGGUGCAUCCCCAUGCUGCCACAGUGACAGCUCCCUGGAGACUAGCACUGGGGAGUUUCUUUCUUGCUUUUUGACAGACUUUUAGGUCUUUACUCUUCUGUGCAUUUAGAAGGAAUGAUAAGAAUUUCUUUUUAUCACACUGUAGUUUUCCUUCAAGGUUUGUGUUUGGUUGGUUGGUUUUAUUGGCAAGCAUCAAUGCCGCAUUACCCGUCGCUUUCCAGUCUUCAUCGUGCUGCCGUGAGACCACUGGAAAGCACAGCAUUGUCUGCACAAGGCUGGGACUGCUCCUUCACCACAGGGUCUGCAAGAAAGCAGGAGGAAAGUCAGGCAAUCAGGGUGGUGAGUGCUGAGAGAAGCCCAUGGCAAACCCACCCUUUCAACGGAAAGAGAGACAGACUGAUGGGCAAGCCAGGGUCAGGGGGGCAACAGGAGAGACGGAAAUCACGGAAUUCC
rnacentral:lncRNA from 1 species